rnacentral:tRNA from 1 species
GAAGGUGUAGCUCAGUGGUAGAAUGUGCUCUUAGCAUGUGAAAGGCUCUGGAUUGAAUCCCCAGCAUCUAAA